CUGUGACUUUUUUCCCUCUCCUGCUGGAUGUGAAAAAGGCAGCAUGCUGUCACAAUUGCUUUCGGCAGCCGUCUUAUGACCACACGAAUAACAAGACCUAAGGUGACGCCAAAAGUGUUAAUAGCAGUGAAUAAAUUGUUUCUCUGAAGAGGAUGGGGAAGCUUUCUCAUUUAGGAGGAUAAAACUGAGGGAAAUGAGAAAUAUAAUAAGAAAGAGAGAUUAAAAUCUUCUGAAAUUGGUUAAUUGAUUGCCUGACAGUUAUAACAGAAAUGCUUUAAAUCUGAAACUCAUCAA